ACGCUGGCGGCGUGCCUAAUACAUGCAAGUCGAACGAGAGCGACCGGUGCCUGCACUGGUCAAUCUAGUGGCGAACGGGUGAGUAACACGUGGGUAACCUGCCCAUCAGAGGGGGAUAACAUUCGGAAACGGAUGCUAAAACCGCAUAGGUUCUUGAGUCGCAUGACCCGAGAAGGAAAAGAGGCUUCGGCUUCUGCUGAUGGAUGGACCCGCGGUGCAUUAGCUAGUUGGUGAGGUAACGGCUCACCAAGGCCGUGAUGCAUAGCCGACCUGAGAGGGUGAUCGGCCACAUUGGGACCGAGACACGGCCCAAACUCCUACGGGAGGCAGCAGUAGGGAAUCUUCCGCAAUGGACGCAAGUCUGACGGAGCAACGCCGCGUGAGUGAAGAAGGAUUUCGGUUCGUAAAACUCUGUUGUUAGAGAAGAACAGCGCAUAGAGUAACUGUUAUGCGUGUGACGGUAUCUAACCAGAAAGCCACGGCUAACUACGUGCCAGCAGCCGCGGUAAUACGUAGGUGGCAAGCGUUGUCCGGAUUUAUUGGGCGUAAAGCGAGCGCAGGCGGUCAAUUAAGUCUGAUGUGAAAGCCCCCGGCUCAACCGGGGAGGGUCAUUGGAAACUGGUUGACUUGAGUGCAGAAGAGGAGAGUGGAAUUCCAUGUGUAGCGGUGAAAUGCGUAGAUAUAUGGAGGAACACCAGUGGCGAAGGCGACUCUCUGGUCUGUAACUGACGCUGAGGCUCGAAAGCGUGGGUAGCAAACAGGAUUAGAUACCCUGGUAGUCCACGCCGUAAACGAUGAGUGCUAAGUGUUGGAGGGUUUCCGCCCUUCAGUGCUGCAGUUAACGCAUUAAGCACUCCGCCUGGGGAGUACGACCGCAAGGUUGAAACUCAAAGGAAUUGACGGGGACCCGCACAAGCGGU
rnacentral:rRNA from 1 species